UACGGAGGGUGCAAACGUCGCUCGGAAUCAUUGGGCGUAAAGCGCACGUAGGCGGACCGCUAAGUCGGAUGUGAAAGCCCUCGGCUUAACCGAGGAAGUGCAUUCGAAACUGACAGUCUUGAGUAUGGAAGAGGGUCGCGGAAUUCCCGGUGUAGAGGUGAAAUUCGUAGAUAUCGGGAGGAACACCAGUGGCGAAGGCGGCGACCUGGGCCAAUACUGACGCUGAGGUGCGAAAGCGUGGGGAGCAAACGGG
rnacentral:rRNA from 1 species